CUCUUAUCAUAGAAAUAGAAGCAGUCCUCAAUUCCCGCCCGCUAACUCCUAUCUCCACCGAUCCAAAUGAUCUCCUAGCCCUCACUCCCGGACAUUUCCUCAUUGGCGAUUCAUUAAUGUGCUUACGUGAUCGAGAUUUCAGAGACAUUCCAUCGAACCGACUCUCCAAAUGGCAGCAUAUCCAACAGCUUAAACAACAUUUUUGGAACCGCUGGCAUAAGGAGUAUUUGAACGAGCUAACCAACCGCAAUAAAUGGAGCAAGGGUGGACACAGCAUCCAAAAGGGCACAAUCGUCAUCCUCAGAGAGGACAACGUUCCCUCCAUGCAUUGGCCUCUGGGCCGAGUUAUCAAGGUUCAUCCAGGCGCCGAUGGUGUCAUCCGGACAGCUACAGUUCAGACGGCAAAGAGCAUUUUGGAUCGGGGCGUCAAAAGGCUUGUCCCACUGCCAAUUCAACCCGAUCUCGAGAAACCCGAACAACUAGCCACCGAGCCGAAAUAAGAUGGGAACUUCAACCACACCUCGCUAGUUUGAUCGGUACCCUCUCAACGGGGGGAGAAUGUUACGCCAUGCGGCUUACCAUAGGUCAUAUUCUUAACUAUCGAUCGCGGCACUAUAAUGUCGCAGACGGAUCGUCGCGUCUGCCCGGCAAACAAACAUUGUAGUGGCAAGCGCAUGGUUCAUUAAGCAGGGCGACUUCCAGAAACGUCGACUCGUGGCCCGUAUUUUACCUCGCAGUAAAAGAAUGUGGCGUGAUCCGAACGUAGUGGGGGUCGCCUUCCAGAAAAAACGAAAAAAAUCGAAAGGCGUUCAGAACUUUUCGAGAAGUCGAACCGUCAACACAUGUGUUUCUUUAGAUAAUUAUUAUCAACAUGAUGACUAACUCUUACGGAUUAAUACGUGUCUGUAGGGCAAUCCGGUGGACUGGAUCGGCUUUUUACUUCGAAAGUUGAGUAAUCGGUGUCGCUUUCUUACGCAUCUUUGAACUGUAUAAAUGUUUUAAAAUUGUUUGAUCCAGAAUGUACCACACCGGACAAUCAAGAAGGCAGGUGCCUUGACUACAGAAAAUGUAAACCUCUGCAAGAAAUAUGGCAGAUACAGUACCGUACAGCCACCGAUUUUUAUAGACGAUCAGUGUGCAGAUACCAGGUCAAUGUUACGAUCGUUUGCUGUCCGAACGAUCCAAACAAAGAGAAGAGAGAAAUUUUAAUAAAAACUGUGUAUAAGUAUAAGGCUUUGCGACCACCAUACUGUGGUUUUAGCAACGUCUCUCAUACCAGGGUGGUCGAUGGUAAACCAGCUGAACUUGGUACGUUUUAUGUCUUUCUUUCCGAUUAAUAAUAAGCCAUUUACUGCAAAGAAUGAACUUUAAAGGCAUUAAACAGCACAUCAAUGUACAUUUCAAUUAGACUAAAUAAUAAUGCUAUGAUUUUAUCGGUAGUAACUUUACUUAUUAACUUGAAUUAUUUCUUUCUUUUACUUCAUGUUAGGAAGAGUAUCUUUUUGCUUGAAAUAAAAAAUUGAUAUAGGAGUAAUAAUAUGGAUAGAGAUCAAAAACUGUUAGGGCAGAAAUUACACGUUUGAACUUUAUAGUUCAGUAUAGUUCAAAUAGAAAUUAUAUAGAAUUAUUUAAUAAUUUGUAUUCCACUGGAAUAAAAAUUUAAUUUCUGUCUUUAUCAAAUCUCUAUUUCAGAGUAUUUGUACGUAUGUACUUAUCGUCUGCUGUAUGAUCGAAUAUC